ACGGGAGGCAGCAGUGGGGAAUAUUGCACAAUGGGGGAAAGUCUGACGGAGCGACGCCGCGUGGAUGAUGAAGGUCGGAAGAUUGUAAAAUCCUUUUAUGACUGAGGAAUAAGUGAAGUGAGAGAAACGCUUCAUGGUGACUGUAGGUCAUGAAUAAGCAACGGCUAAUUACGUGCCAGCAGCCGCGGUAACACGUAAGUUGCGAGCGUUGUUCGGAAUUAUUGGGCGUAAAGGGCAUGUAGGCGGUUUUGCAAGCUUGGUGUGAAAUCCCGGAGCUCAACUCCGGAAUUGCGUUGAGAACUGCAUAACUAGAGUCACUGAGGGGCAAUCAGAAUUCCAGGUGUAGGGGUGAAAUCUGUAGAUAUCUGGAAGAAUACCAAUGGCGAAGGCAGGUUACCAGCAGAUGACUGACGCUGAGGUGCGAAGGUGCGGGGAGCAAACAGGAUUAGAUACACUGGUA
rnacentral:rRNA from 1 species